ensembl:lincRNA
GGUUGUUUUCCCUUUAGGUCACUUUGUGCAGCGGAAUGAAAUUUCCUGGCCAGCACGGCCUCUGCCUUAUUGAAAAGCAGUCUCGCCCACCUUUGCUCUGAGGACCUAGCAAGGCGUCUGCACACUUGGUGCAGGGAUGGAAACGUGGGAAGAAGCAGCUGCUCUUGAACACAAGUCCUUUCCACAUACGAAGCAACCCAGACUUCCACCCUGCUCCGUCGGCUGGCAGGUGCGGGGCCCGCCUGUCGCUGUGGCUGUGAUGCUGCGGUCCCCGGCGUCCAGUGUGUGGGAUGCCGGCUGCCUCUGGAAGUGUUCUCUGUCUGAGCGGCUCUGCCGCGGGAGCUCCGGAUCCACAGUCUGGGUGCAGAGAUGGGCAAACCGUAAGCCGUGCUGCUCCUCCACUCCUCUUGGUGUGCGAGGUCUGGACCGCCGCUCAGGCGCAGAGGUGACUGUGGUGGAGAGGGAUUCUGACCAAGUCACCAGCCCCAGACGCAUGAGGAAGACACAGGCAUCCCCAGCAUAUUUGAGGGUGGAGAUGUCCAGGGUGCUUUGUGACCCAGGCCGAAGAGAAGAGAGGAGUCCGCAGGCCAGGUAAGCUGUGCACAGUCCCCCGCUGCCACAUGCGGACGAAUGGCGUCCAGCCGGCCUCUGGGCCCGUCCUUUUCCCGGGUGUUGGGCUCAAUGCUGGGUCUCAUCUCAUUGAUCUUUAUGAUAUGGGGCAAUCAAAUACAAAUUCCAAAGUCCCCAAGUUUGAAACUUUUUGGUGCUUUUCAUUCACUCAGCCGUCAUACACCUAUACUCACACCUUCCUUGCCGUCUUCUCCUCUAGAAAAUAAUGAGCUGGUGGGAAUGAGUUCCCGGAUCCAUGUUCAGCGUCGCACCUCUGAUCCCGGUUCAAACCAGCUAUGUCCAAAAGGCUUCCUCAGACAGUCGGGAAAUCUACAACAGCUUGGAUAUCUGACACUCAGAAAGCAUGACUACUGCUGAAUGUAAUGUUUUCAUGGUCAUGUGAAAUGAAGGAAGAGAGAGAGGACGGAAAGAAGUCCUGGUGAGUCCCAUACAAAUGAAAGUAUCCACAGAUAAAACGGCCAGGCCUCUCAGAGGUACUCUAAACACUCCAGCAAAAAUAAAAAUGUAAAACGCUGGGGUGACUGGAUAAAAUGAGAACAGCAGAAUGUUAAUGGCUCUUACGUCUGUGAUGACUCAUUGCCCGUUUCUCUCUUUGUUGGCCUAUGUCUUUAACAAGACAGAAAACUUUGUUUGGUAGAUGGUUUUGCUUCAAAGUCUGCCAUCAAUGUCACACAGCAGGGCUCCAGGGCCCCUUCAGGCACUCGAAGUGCUGUAUGCAAUGUGUACGGGAAGUCUUUCCCUCUGACUUUCUGGAUUCUCCCAAGCUCUGUGCCAUCCAAGGCCGAGGGGGUCUGCUUCUGCAGGUGGAGGAGCAGCUGGCUUUCCUCCGCUCAGAACUCAGCAAGGAGCACCACAACUGUGCGGUCUCAGGGAGGCCAGAGGGCAGCUGUGGACAGCCCCGGUGGAUGCUUCCCUUCUCCCCAUCCCCGCAGGCUGAGUUUUGAGUCCUGUCCAGCGCUCGGUGUGGCUUUGCCUUUCGCUCUCCCUGGUGCUGUGCAGACAGCGGAGCAAGGGGAAACUCCAGGGAGACCCGGCAGAGUCUGUUUGACACACCGAACUGUUGGGCCAGGACCAUCACAUCCGGGAGACCCAAGCACGGCUGCACCACUCUCUUCUGGUCUCUUCUGACAUCCAGGACUCCAUG